GGAUGAACGCUGGCGGUAUGCUUAACACAUGCAAGUCGAACGAUGUUUUAGGACAUAGUGGCGGACGGGUGAGUAACGCGUAAGAAUCUACCUUCAGGUUUGGGACAACCAUUGGAAACGGUGGCUAAUACCGAAUGUGCCGAGAGGUGAAAGGCUUGCUGCCUGAAGAAGAGCUUGCGUCUGAUNAGCUAGUUGGUGGGGUAAGAGCCUACCAAGGCGACGAUCAGUAGCUGGUCUGAGAGGAUGAUCAGCCACACUGGGACUGAGACACGGCCCAGACUCCUACGGGAGGCAGCAGUGGGGAAUUUUCCGCAAUGGGCGAAAGCCUGACGGAGCAAUACCGCGUGAGGGAGGAAGGCUCUUGGGUUGUAAACCUCUUUUCUCAGGGAAGAAAAAAAUGACGGUACCUGAGGAAUAAGCAUCGGCUAACUCCGUGCCAGCAGCCGCGGUAAUACGGAGGAUGCAAGCGUUAUCCGGAAUGAUUGGGCGUAAAGGGUCCUCAGGUGGUAGUGUAAGUCUGCUGUUAAAGAGUCACGCUCAACGUGAUAAAAGCAGUGGAAACUACACAACUAGAGUACGGUAGGGGCAGAAGGAAUUCCUGGUGUAGCGGUGAAAUGCGUAGAUAUCAGGAAGAACACCGGUGGCGAAAGCGUUCUGCUAGACCUGUACUGACACUGAGGGACGAAAGCUAGGGGAGCGAAUGGGAUUAGAUACCCCAGUAGUCCUAGCCGUAAACGAUGGAUACUAGGUGUGGCUUGUAUCGACCCGAGCCGUACCGUAGCUAACGCGUUAAGUAUCCCGCCUGGGGAGUACGCACGCAAGUGUGAAACU
rnacentral:rRNA from 1 species